UGGGGAAUCUUGGACAAUGGGGGCAACCCUGAUCCAGCCAUGCCGCGUGGGUGAAGAAGGCCUUCGGGUUGUAAAGCCCUUUCAGCAGGGAAGACGCCGGGUCGUUCGAACAGGGCGGUCUUGGUGACGUUACCUGCACAAGAAGCACCGGCCAACUCCGUGCCAGCAGCCGCGGUAAUACGGAGGGUGCAAGCGUUAAUCGGAAUCACUGGGCGUAAAGGGCACGCAGGCGGCUCGUCAAGUGGGAUGUGAAAGCCCCGGGCUCAACCUGGGAAUGGCAUUCCAAACUGGCGGGCUAGAGUCCGGUAGAGGGAGGCGGAAUUCCCCGUGUAGCGGUGAAAUGCGUAGAUAUGGGGAGGAACACCGGUGGCGAAGGCGGCCUCCUGGACCGGCACUGACGCUGAGGUGCGAAAGCGUGGGUAGCGAACG
rnacentral:rRNA from 1 species